CUACGGGUUGCUGCAGUGGGGAAUAUUGGACAAUGGGGGAAACCCUGAUGCAGCAACGCCGCGUGGAGGAUGACGCAUUUCGGUGUGUAAACUCCUUUUAUAUAGGAAGAUAAUGACGGUACUAUAUGAAUAAGCACCGGCUAACUCCGUGCCAGCAGCCGCGGUAAUACGGAGGGUGCAAGCGUUACUCGGAAUCACUGGGCGUAAAGCGCGCGCAGGCGGCCUUUUAAGUUGGAUGUGAAAGCCUAUGGCUUAACCAUAGAACUGCAUCCAAAACUAUCAGGCUAGAGUCUGGGAGGGGAAGAUGGAAUUAGUUGUGUAGGGGUAAAAUCCGUAGAGAUAACUAGGAAUACCAAAAGCGAAGGCGAUCUUCUGGAACAGUACUGACGCUGAGGCGCGAAAGCGUGGGGAGCAAACAGGAUUAGAUACCCUAGUAGUC
rnacentral:rRNA from 1 species